CAAAAACAUCGCCUUUUGUCUAACUAUAAAAGGUCAAGCCUGCCCAGUGACAUUGUUCAACGGCCGCGGUAUUCUAACCGUGCGAAGGUAGCGUAAUCACUUGUUUUUUAAAUGAGGACUAGUAUGAAUGGCUUCACGAAGGCUAUACUGUCUCCCUUAUCCAAUCAGUUAAACUAAUCUUCCCGUGAAGAAGCGGGAAUAAACCUAUAAGACGAGAAGACCCUAUGGAGCUUUAAACACUUUUAAACAUUUGACAUUUAACAUUUCAACUUUCAGAAAACUUUACUAAACCAAUCGAUUUGUUUUAAGUUUUAGGUUGGGGUGACCACGGAGAACAACAAAACCUCCACGUAGAAAGAACCUUUCUCUAAGCAAAAAGCCACAUCUUUACGCAUCAAUAAUACUGACCUUAAUUGACCCAAUUCUUUGAUCAAC
rnacentral:rRNA from 1 species